AAUGAACGUUGGCGGCGUGGAUUAGGCAUGCAAGUCGAGCGAGAACCCCGCAAGGGGGGACAGCGGCAAACGGGGUAGUAAUGUGUCGGAACGUGCCCUCAGGUCGGGGAUAGCGGCGGGAAACUGCCGGUAAUACCCGAUGACCUCGAGAGAGCAAAGGUGUGACUCCGCCCGAGGAGCGGCCGACAUGGUAUUAGCUAGUUGGCGAGGUAACGGCCCACCAAGGCAAUGAUGCCUAGGGGAUGUGAGAGCAUGAUCCCCACCAUUGGGACUGAGAAACUGCCCAGACACCUACGGGUGGCUGCAGUCGAGAAUCUUCGUCAAUGGGCGAAAGCCUGAACGAGCGACGCCGCGUGCGGGAUGAAGGCCCUUGGGUUGUAAACCGCUGUCGAGGGGGAUGAAGGCAUUCAGGUACUCCUGAAUGUUUGACAGAGCCCUGGAGGAAGCACGGGCUAAGUUCGUGCCAGCCGCCGCCGUAAGAC
rnacentral:rRNA from 1 species